AUACGGAGGGUGCGAGCGUUACUCGGAAUCACUGGGCGUAAAGCGCGCGCAGGCGGUCUUUUAAGUUGGAUGUGAAAGCCUACGGCUCAACCGUAGAACUGCAUCCAAAACUAUUAGACUAGAGUGUGGGAGAGGAAGAUGGAAUUAGUUGUGUAGGGGUAAAAUCCGUAGAGAUAUCUAGGAAUACCAAAAGCGAAGGCAAUCUUCUGGAACACUACUGACGCUGAGGCGCGAAAGCGUGGGGAGCAAACGGGAUUAGAUACCCUAGUAGUCC
rnacentral:rRNA from 1 species